rnacentral:rRNA from 1 species
CGGCGUACGGGUGCGUAACACGUGUGCGACCUGCCUUUAUCUGGGGGAUAGCCUUUCGAAAGGAAGAUUAAUACUCCAUAACAUAUUGAACGGCAUCGUUUAAUAUUGAAAGCUCCGGCGGAUAGAGAUGGGCACGCGCAAGAUUAGCUAGUUGGUGAGGUAACGGCUCACCAAGGCGAUGAUCUUUAGGGGGCCUGAGAGGGUGAUCCCCCACACUGGUACUGAGACACGGACCAG